AAGCUCCAGGGUGUUGUAAAACCAAAUAAUAACCUGUAGCUUCCACCCACCGAGUCCUGCUAACACAAAAGCCUCUUCCCAGGAUUUCCCAGUAGCUUCAAGCAAAGCAGCAUUGCAUGGCUUCAGUUCCACAGAGGCACCAGUAAACAUUGAGGCUGCCUCCUCCCACCCCCUAUUAUGUCCCAUGCACAUGACUGUAUGGAUCUUAUCGCUUGAAUAUC
rnacentral:misc_RNA from 1 species